AGAGUUGGCAUAGGCGGUUGCAGAUCAGUUUCAUUGAGGCUGGUUUGAGGAAAGUCCGGGCUCCCGAAAGACCAAACUUGCUGGGUAACGCCCAGUGCGAGCGAUCGCGAGGAGAGUGCCACAGAAACAUACCGCCAAUUUUAGUCAUUAGACAAAAUUGGUAAGGGUGCAAAGGUGCGGUAAGAGCGCACCAGCACGACCGAGAGGUCGUGGCUCGGUAAACCCCGGUUGGGAGCAAGGUCAAGGAACUACGGUUGGUCUUUUACCAGUUCCGCUAAACAAGAGCCGCUAGAGGCGUUUGGUGACAAACGUCCCAGAUAGAUAACCGCCCUCUUUAUGUGAAAACGCAUUAUGCUAUGUUUUUGCAAAAGAAGUACAGAACCCGGCUUAUUCCUAACUCUCUCC
rnacentral:RNase_P_RNA from 1 species